GACGAACGCUGGCGGCGUUCUUAACACAUGCAAGUCGAACGGAAAGGCCCUGCUUUUGUGGGGUGCUCGAGUGGCGAACGGGUGAGUAACACGUGAGUAACCUGCCCUUUACUUUGGGAUAACUUCAGGAAACUGGGGCUAAUACCGGAUAGGAGCUCCUGCUGCAUGGUGGGGGUUGGAAAGUUUCGGCGGUUGGGGAUGGACUCGCGGCUUAUCAGCUUGUUGGUGGGGUAGUGGCUUACCAAGGCUUUGACGGGUAGCCGGCCUGAGAGGGUGACCGGCCACAUUGGGACUGAGAUACGGCACAGACUCCUACGGGAGGCAGCAGUGGGGAAUAUUGCACAAUGGGCGGAAGCCUGAUGCAGCAACGCCGCGUGCGGGAUGACGGCCUUCGGGUUGUAAACCGCUUUCGCCUGUGACGAAGCGUGAGUGACGGUAAUGGGUAAAGAAGCACCGGCUAACUACGUG
rnacentral:rRNA from 1 species